rnacentral:rRNA from 1 species
CCUACGGGUGGCAGCAGUGGGGAAUAUUGCUCAAUGGGCGAAACCCUGAAGCAGCGACGCCGCGUGAGGGAUGAAGGUUUUCGGAUUGUAAACUCCUUUUGUUAGGGAAGAAAAUGCCGUUAGCUAACGAGUAAUCAAUGGCUAACUCCUUGCCAGCAGCCGCGGUAAUACGGAGGGUGCAAGCGUUACUCGGAAUCGCUGGGCGUAACGAGCGCGUAGGCGGGAUAGCAAGUCAGAGGGGAAAUCCUAGGGCUUAACCAGAGAACUGCCUUUGAAACUGUUAAUCUAGAGUGUGUGAGAGGUAGGUGGAAUUCCAGGUGUAGGGGUAAAAUCCGUAGAUAUCAAGAGGAACACCAAUGGCGAAGGCGACUUGCUAGAACAUAACUGACGCUGAUGCGCGAAAGCGUGGGGAGCAAACAGGAUUAGAUACCCGAGUAGUC